rnacentral:lncRNA from 1 species
CAUCUCAUUUCUCUUGGCUGGCCAAGGCAAGAACAAAAGGGAAAAAGCAUAGAACAAAUCCUAGAGAAGAAAAUCAAGAGAAAAUUCAUUGGAUUUCAAGGAAUUAAGCAAGUAAAGGUAAAAUUUCUUAAUUUUAGAUUGUGAUCUACCUUUCCUGUCACGACCCGGUACUCUCCUCGAGCCCGUGACAAUCGUCGCGGUGUCUCGAUCGACAUUCAUUACCCGAAAUAUCAACCGAAACCCCGUAAGGCUUUAAUAUUAGUUUUCGCACCUCCCCUAUGAGCAACAGUUGUCAAAUAUAAUGUUUUGAGAUAUUAUAAACUAUUUUCAAAUCAAAACAAUAGAAGAAUAAUUUUUCUCUCACAGGGGCAUUUUGGUCAUUUUUCUUCGAAAAUCUCGAUUCUAGCUAAUAAUGUAGUAUACAAGUGCAAAACACAUAUUUCAAAAAAAUCAAAAAUAAAUUUAGAUGUCUAAACAUUCGUUUAAAGUGAAAUUAUGACUGUUAGAAUAAAAUAAAAUUAUUAAACAAAAUAUUCUAUUUUCUUAUAAAAUAAUAUUUUUAGAACACUCCGAAAAUAAUUUUUACAGCAUAAAAGUAAAAUAAAUUCCUACAUACAGUAGUACAGAUAACUAGAGUACAAAAUUUAAUUUACAGUGACAUGUGGACCCCCAAAUGACAAAAAUGAACAAAGGCUGCAAACUUACAGUUUUUGAGGAAGUAAAGCCAACUGUAGCCUUCGACGAUGUCAGCUAUCUACAGCCUAUAUUGAGCCUGAAAUGGGUGGAAAGGAGGGUGGUGAGAUUUUAUAAUCCUAGUGAGUAAACAAACACCACUCAAAAUAUCUAAAGUUGAGUAAAAGGAGACGAUUAAAAUAUUCUAUCUCAAUAUGUAUUUCAUAACAUAAAUAUUCAUUUCAUUUAAAUAAUCAACAUGGCUUAGGAGUAUCUUAAAAGCUUGGCUCCUACCAAAAUCAUUCUCGAGAAUACCUUGGCCGAGCCAUUUAACCGAGUUUGCCAAGGCUGUUAAAAAAUUUUGUAUACACACAAAUCAUAUUUUUAUUUUGAAAACACAGUCGUUCCUUGACGUUAGCAGAGCUCAUCAUCACGAGGUGGUUCGGCUUGACGUGAACUCUAACCAUACCUCAGGAGAUACCCUACGCGCCUCUCCAACCGAGGUAUAUAUAUAACCAGAUUCUGUGCCCCUCUAAUAGGCUGGUCCAUAGAAUCGGCCCACUUUAGAUCAUUUUCUAUAAAAUUCACAAAAUCGAAUAAAAAGACCACUUUAGAUAAUUAAAAUGAUGAUAAGGUUACUCAAUAUGUCUAGAGUGCGAAUUUUCGAAGUACUUUGACUACUGGUCCUCGGAUCCAAUUUCCUUGCCUUUAUUGGAAGACUCACCACCUUGACAUAAUACAAAAUCGAGAAACUUACUACAUUGGUACUAAAUCGAAAUUAAACUAAUUUAGACUACUAAUGCAUGAUAUGGAAUGCAAAAUGCACGGGUAACCAUCUAAACUCGAUAUUGACCUAAUUCAUCUUAUCACCCGAUUAAUUGACCAACGCGUCCAAUUUAGCUCCAAAUUGCUCCAUUUCUUUUCCAAUACCUUAAUUCACCAAACACAAGUCAAAUAACCUAAAAUUUGACAAAACCAUCUUUACAUUUCCUCUUAGAAUUUUUAAUCAAUAAUGGUGCAUUAACACCGUGAUUUUUUCUACUACUUUUCCACACCAUAAUUCAUCAUUUUCUAACCAAUUCUCUUAAAAUAAAAAUCAAAUUCAUCCUCACUCAAUACAAGGUAGAUUCGGCCAUUGAUGGAUGAUGGGGAAAAUGAAUUCUUUUCUUGUUGUUUUGCUUCUAAACAUGGUAAACUAACUAAAAACAUUAACAUAACUUGAAAUCAAAUCAAUCCAACAUCAUUCUCUCUCCAUACCCAUUCGGUCAGCCAUGAAUUCACCAUGAAAACAUGUAAUUUAACCAUGGAAAAUAAGGAGAAAUGCUUGGGAAAGGUAGAUCACAAGCCAAAAUCAAGAAAUUUUACCUUUGAUUGCUUGAUUACUUGAAAUCCACUAAUUUUCUCUUGAAUUUUCCACCUAGGUUUUUGUUCUUCUUCUUUUCUUCUCUUUUCC